GGUCUAAUAAUCAAUAAUGAUAUUAAAUUGCAAAUUUAAAAGUAAAUUUUUAAUUUUUAGACUU
rnacentral:tRNA from 1 species